rnacentral:rRNA from 1 species
UGAGUCGGGACCUAAGGCGAGGCCGACAGGCGUAGUCGAUGGACAACGGGUUGAUAUUCCCGUACCCGUGUGAACGCGCCCCUGAUGAAUCAGGAGUACUAACUGUCCAGAUCGUCCUGGAGCACCUUCGGGUGACGUGGACGUGAUGCACAGGACCUUUCCUGGUAGUAGUCAAGCGAUGGGGUGACGCAGGAAGGUAGUGGGGCCAGUCAGUGGUAGUACUGGUGUAAGCCUGUAGGGAGUGACCUAGGCAAAUCCGGGUCGCAUAUAUCCUGAGAGGUGAUGCGUAGCCGAAUGAGGCGAAUUCCAUGAUCCUACGCUGCCGAGAAAAGCCUCUAGCGAGCUUUCACACGGCCCGUACCCCAAACCGACACAGGUGAUCAGGUAGAGAAUACCAAGGCGAUCGAGAGAACUAUGGUUAAGGAACUCGGCAAAAUGCCCCCGUAACUUCGGGAGAAGGGGGACCCGUGCUGGUGACCGGAUUUACUCCGUGAGCUGGUGUGGGUCGCAGAGACCAGUGAGAAGCGACUGUUUACUAAAAACACAGGUCCGUGCGAAGUCGUAAGACGAUGUAUACAGACUGACGCCUCCCCGGUGCUGGAAGGUUAAGAGGACCGGUUAAUCACUUCGGUGGUGAAGCUGAGAAUUUAAGCCCCAGUAAACGGCGGUGGUAACUAUAACCAUCCUAAGGUAGCGAAAUUCCUUGUCGGGUAAGUUCCGACCUGCACGAAUGGCGUAACGACUUCUCAGCUGUCUCAACCAUAGACUCGGCGAAAUUGCAUUACGAGUAAAGAUGCUCGUUACGCGCGGCAGGACGAAAAGACCCCGGGACCUUCACUAUAGCUUGGUAUUGGUGUUCGGUACGGUUUGUGUAGGAUAGGUGGGAGACUGUGAAGUGGGCACGCCAGUGUUCAUGGAGUCAUCGUUGAAAUACCACUCUGAUCGUAUUGGACUUCUAACCUCGGACCAUGAUCUGGUUCAGGGACAGUGCCUGGUGGGUAGUUUAACUGGGGCGGUUGCCUCCCAAAAUGUAACGGAGGCGCCCAAAGGUUCCCUCAGCCUGGUUGGCAAUCAGGUGUUGAGUGCAAGUGCACAAGGGAGCUUGACUGUGAGACUGACAGGUCGAGCAGGGACGAAAGUCGGGACUAGUGAUCCGGCACCGGCAAGUGGAAGCGGUGUCGCUCAACGGAUAAAAGGUACCCCGGGGAUAACAGGCUGAUCUUCCCCAAGAGUCCAUAUCGACGGGAUGGUUUGGCACCUCGAUGUCGGCUCGUCGCAUCCUGGGGCUGGAGUAGGUCCCAAGGGUUGGGCUGUUCGCCCAUUAAAGCGGCACGCGAGCUGGGUUUAGAACGUCGUGAGACAGUUCGGUCUCUAUCCGCCGCGCGCGUUAGAAACUUGAGGAAGGCUGUCCCUAGUACGAGAGGACCGGGACGGACGAACCUCUGGUGUGCCAGUUGUUCCACCAGGAGCACCGCUGGUUAGCUACGUUCGGAAGGGAUAACCGCUGAAAGCAUCUAAGCGGGAAGCCUGUUCCAAGAUGAGGUUUCUCACCCCCACGAGGGGGUAAGGCCCCCGGCAGACCACCGGGUUGAUAGGCCAGAACUGGAAGCCGAGUAAUCGGUGCAGGUGACUGGUACUAAUCGGCCGAGGACUUACCU